rnacentral:tRNA from 1 species
GUGUAGCUCAGUGGUAGAGUGCUUGCCUAGCAUUCAGGAGGUCUUGGGUUCAGUCCCCAGCAC